rnacentral:rRNA from 1 species
GAUGAACGCUGGCGGCGUGCCUAAUACAUGCAAGUCGAGCGAACAGACGAGGAGCUUGCUCCUCUGACGUUAGCGGCGGACGGGUGAGUAACACGUGGAUAACCUCCUUAUAAGACUGGGAUAACUUCGGGAAACCGGAGCUAAUACCGGAUAAUAUAUUGAACCGCAUGGUUCAAUAGUGAAAGACGGUUUUGCUGUCACUUAUAGAUGGAUCCGCGCCGCAUUAGCUAGUUGGUAAGGUAACGGCUUACCAAGGCAACGAUGCGUAGCCGACCUGAGAGGGUGAUCGGCCACACUGGAACUGAGACACGGUCCAGACUCCUACGGGAGGCAGCAGUAGGGAAUCUUCCGCAAUGGGCGAAAGCCUGACGGAGCAACGCCGCGUGAGUGAUGAAGGUCUUCGGAUCGUAAAACUCUGUUAUUAGGGAAGAACAAAUGUGUAAGUAACUAUGCACGUCUUGACGGUACCUAAUCAGAAAGCCACGGCUAACUACGUG